UGUUUACUAAAGAAGAAGUGGACUAUAAUAUCUGUGUCCAAUGAGCCCUCUACACGGCAACAUCUGGUUAUCUACAAAUGUGUAGAUUUUUGUUGGAGUACUGGGGGAUUUACUAGCCUAAGACAUCAGCUGCUUCGUGGAGGUACUGCUGCUGUGUCUGGUGGAGAAGUGGGGUGAUUAUGUGACCCUGAAAUCCAGCACGUGGCUCCUGUUGCUCAGCCUCAUAUGUUCAUACUCUGACUGUGUCCUGGAGGAGUGGCGUACAAAUUCUGUCCAACUCCCUUCCAUUAAAAAUUAUAUGUAUUUUUA